rnacentral:rRNA from 1 species
GACGAACGCUGGCGGCGUGCUUAACACAUGCAAGUCGAGCGGAAAGGCCCUUUUGGGGGUACUCGAGCGGCGAACGGGUGAGUAACACGUGAGUAAUCUGCCCUUCACUUGGGGAUAACUCCGAGAAAUCGGUGCUAAUACCCGAUAUGACAUGCGCCUGCAUGGGUGUGUGUGGAAAGUUUUUUCGGUGGGGGAUGUGCUCGCGGCCUAUCAGCUUGCUGGUGGGUAAUGGCCUACCAAGGCUUCGACGGGUAGCCGGCCUGAGAGGGUGACCGGCCACACUGGGACUGAGACACGGCCCAGACUCCUACGGGAGGCAGCAGUGGGGAAUAUUGGACAAUGGGCGGAAGCCUGAUCCAGCAACGCCGCGUGAGGGAUGACGGCCUUCGGGUUGUAAACCUCUUUCAGCACCGACGAAGUUGUGCCUUUUUGGGUGUGGUGACGGUAGGUGCAGAAGAAGGACCGGCCAACUACGUGCCAGCCGCCGCGGUAACAC